ACGGAGGGCGCAAGCGUUGUUCGGAAUUACUGGGCGUAAAGCGCGGGCAGGUGGCCCAUUAAGUCUCCUGUGAAAACCCGGAGCUCAACUCCGUGGAAUGCAGGGGAAACUGGCGGGCUAGAGACCAGUAGAGGCUAGCGGAAUUCCUGGUGUAGCGGUGGAAUGCGUAGAUAUCAGGAAGAACACCUGUGGCGAAGGCGGCUAGCUGGGCUGGAUCUGACACUCAUCCGCGAAAGCGUGGGGAGCAAACAGG
rnacentral:rRNA from 1 species